CGUCCCGUAGCUCAGCAGGCAGAGCAUCCGCCCGACGUGCGGAGGGUCCCAGGUUCGACUCCUGGCGGGACGA
rfam:Saccharothrix sp. NRRL B-16348 P442contig56.1, whole genome shotgun sequence.